rnacentral:rRNA from 1 species
AUACGGAGGGUGCAAGCGUUAAUCGGAAUUACUGGGCGUAAAGCGCGCGUAGGCAGUUUGAUCAGUCGGAUGUGAAAGCCCUGGGCUCAACCUGGGAACUGCAUUCGAUACUGUCAGACUAGAAUAUGGUAGAGGGUAGUGGAAUUCCUGGUGUAGCGGUGAAAUGCGUAGAUAUCAAGAGGAACAUCAGUGGCGAAGGCGGCUACCUGGACCAAUAUUGACGCUGAGGUGCGAAAGCGUGGGGAGCAAACAGGAUUAGAAACCCUAGUAGUCC